CUAUUUAACACGUCCACUAUUUCCUGCCUACUGUUGGCCGAGACAUGCAAGCAGAUGACCCCCACCCGUGAGCAACACCAAAAACGCACCAAGCAGAACAGCGUGCACGAUCUGCUCCUGCACUCCACAUUUUUCAUGUCGGCGUGAAUCUCUUAUUAUGCCAAGUCCCAACCCCCCGGGUCGUGCAAGACGUCUUUUUAGAAACAUUAUUUUUAACGGACCCUAGUGAUAUGCAUAACGUAACAGCGUAACCUCUGAUGGAUUGAUGGAUUUGGGUUACAGCGCAAUACAUUCGCUGAUUCACUUCUUAAUAACUGCAAUUCCAAGUUCCAUUUGGAAUUUUACGGAUCCGUUUAUAUUCAUUUACUGUGAGAGGAAUCAGACAUGGCCUGCAGCAGACGGCAGACACAGAGACGUAAAGGAGAGCAUACUACGGGGGGUCUGCAGAGCUCUGCACACUCUGGCACGCCUGCAGGAUCAUUUCUGCAUUCCCCUUCAUUGCUGGAGCUGCUUAAAGUGCGCACUGUUAAACAGAUUGGCAGCUGCUACAAGUGUUUUAAUAUUGAAGACACAUCCUCAGAUGGUACACAGGGCCAGAGAGUAAAAAUCCUGACCAAGAUUUUGUUUCAACCAGCCAGUUGCGUACUCUGUAACUGUGAUGCUAAUUACUCAAUUAGUUGGUUGAAAGAAAAUUGUGGUUUGGAUUUUUACUCUCUGGACCUGACCUAUACACUUCUGGAGGUCCCCUGGUGCUGGAUGUUGUGGUGUGUAGCACUGCUGCUCAUUACCUCUAGGAAUGGGGGUUGAAAUGCCACCACUGGGGUUUGUGCAGCUGGCCACAGUGCACUGAUAUGCCAUCUUGGGCAUGUACUGUUGUUUUUUGGACUAUGCACUGCAUUGUGUUUCAUUUUUCCUGGGGCUGGCUCCGUCCUUAACUCGACCCAGUACUGGAUCAGUCUGCAGGCAUCGGAGGGUGACUUGCGGAGAUGCCGACUGAGUUGUCACAGUGCUGGGUUAUCGCUCCUUCCAGAACAUUCUCAACAACUGCAAAACAAAUCAGCAUGACGGCCAAAGCUUACCGCAUCAUUAUAGAGAUACUUUAAAGAUUUCAAAUUAAAACAUGAUCAUUUUGAUAGUAUAUAUAACAAAAUCAAAAACUAGCAUAAAUUUAAAAGUAAGUAGCCUAUAUGAAUUUAAGCAUUUUAGUCAUUUUGGAACCAUAUGGGCUAUAUUUACAUUUAUAACGUCUAAUGUUGAUACUAACUUGUUAAAUCAUCUUUUCCAUUAUUGUGCAUCUCUCAUCCUGUUAGCGAAGACAGGGGCAACCAGAUGCUCCUUUCUUUUCGUUCUGUGGGGUCGACUAGCAAUAACACCGAAGAGCCGCAAUCAGCACAAUGGGAACCGGCCGGCGUGGUCCGAAGCUCCCGCCGCUACAACUGAUUGUCUCUGAGGUAAAACAGUACGAAGGAGGACAGGUUUUCUCCUCCGGCUCUCAUUGCUGGCCCUCUUAAACCCCGUGGGGUGAGCCCUUCCAUUUCCUGUCCACUCCACCCCCUUCCAGAGACGCGGUCACGACGACGGCGUUCCCAACAAUUAUUAUUGAACUACAGCAGCAGGACGACAGGAAAUCGUUUUUAGCUUUUCACUCUUCGGUUUUAUUCUUGGCCAUUUGUGCUAAAAAUAAAAUUAAUCUCUCAGAUUUUUCUUUCCGGUACAAAAUGCCUUCAUAUAUUUGUGGCCAUUAGUUGGGCAUCAGCACACUAAGUUGAAGGGCACAUGAGGGGCACAUGAACUGUCCGUGUAGUUACAGAACCAAAAUACCAAACAAGAAAAACAACCAAUGCUGAGUUGGCUGAAGUCAGCUUCUCUGAGGUUCUCACAGACAUUACAAAUGGAACAUCUGGUUACUAUCUGGAACAUCAGCAAACCCCAAAGGAUAUCUUCAGCAUCCCAAGAUGCUUUUAGCUCCCAGUAAAAUCGAAGUGUACAACCAGGUGGGGAUUGUGCUGAUUUGGAGAAAACCUAUUCAUUCAUUCUCGAAUUCUUCUGGGCUAGUAUUCCCAUGACCAGGAACCCCGAGCCCAUUCAUUAGUCAUUAAGAAGUGAAAAUAUGAAAAUGUACAACACAAACUGGGAAACUGCAAUUUUCAGGAAAAUAACAUGAGAGAGAUGCCUCAUUUUUAUGUCUCUGUUUAUCCGACCAACAAGGACGGAGUAGCCCCUCCGCUGAGACGCCACGGUAGGGUUGCACAGAAGCUCAUCCCAGUUUCUCCAUCUUACAGAGAGUGCGAAUGGAUUUGAGUAGAUCAGUUACUUUUCUACAUAUAAUAACUAACCACACAUCACUAACCACACACGACUAACCACACCACACACGACUACAGUAACCACACACCACUAACCAUGCACCACUAACCACACCACACACGACUAACCACACACCACUAACCAUGCACCAUACAUGACUAACUACACACCACUAACCACACAUGACUAACCACAUCACACACAACUACAGUAACCACACACCACUAACCAUGACCACUAACCACACACCACUAACCACACCACACAUGACUAACCACACACCACUAACCAUGCACGACUAACCACACACCACUAACCACACCACACAUGACUAACCACACACCACUAACCACACACCACUAACCAUGCACAACCAACCACAUACCACUAACCACACUCCACUAAUCAUGCACCACACACCACUAACCACACACCCCUAACCACACCACUAACCACACACCACUAACCAUGCACCACACACGACUAACCAUACACCACUAACCAUGCACCAUACAUGACUAACUACACACCACUAACCACACAUGACUAACCACAUCACACACAACUACAGUAACCACACACCACUAACCAUGACCACUAACCACACACCACUAACCACACCACACAUGACUAACCACACACCACUAACCAUGCACGACUAACCACACACCACUAACCACACCACACAUGACUAACCACACACCACUAACCACACACCACUAACCAUGCACAACCAACCACAUACCACUAACCACACUCCACUAAUCAUGCACCACACACCACUAACCACACACCCCUAACCACACCACUAACCACACACCACUAACCAUGCACCACACACGACUAACCACACACCACUAACCACACCACACACGACUAACCACACACCACUAACCACACUCCACUAAUCAUGUACCACACACCACACACCACUAACCACACCACACAUGACUAACCACACACCACUAACCAUUCAACACACAUGACUAACCACACACCACCAACCACACCACACACGACUAACCACACAUCACUAACCAAACACCACUACUGUAAGUAGCUCGCAGUUUUGACAACAUUCUACAACUUUUCUGACCAUUUCUCACCAAACAUUCUCACCAUUUUCGGUUGACGUGUAUGAAGUACAGCAACAACGGCUUACUGCUGUUGCCGCCUACUCCGUAACUCAGACCUUUAACUGCUGCAGAAUUAAUGGAAUUGAUUCACUUGCAGCUGUUAUCUGGUGGGUCAACCCCACCCCCCCCCCCCCACUGGUUUCGUCAUUCCCCUUGCUGUGCUGCUUAAAUCACGGAUGGCCGUUCUGUACUCAAUUUCUCUCCCAUCUUGUGCUGGAUGACACAGCCCCUCCCCUUCAGGCCCAUCCUCCAGCCGCUCAGCAAAUGACACUCCUGAGGCAUCGUCCGACUCGGGUCCUCGGUGAGACCACUUGCCCCAGCUUCUAAGCUCGGUACUGACAACAUGGUCAGUAUUCUGGAGAGGACAACCAGCAAAUGAUGUAUGAUGGGUCUAGGGAAUUGACAGAAGAGUCCAAACAUGAGAGAACCAUUUUGAUAAAUGGACUGUGCCAAAUGGACUUGGUAUGCAAAUGGCUGGUCCUCCUUAUCCUGCAGUUAAGCCAGAUCUUUCCUCUAAAGCCUCAGUCGGAAUAUUAAGUGAAAUACAGCAAAAGGACAACAAGCCAGUUUCUAGGUGGGAGUUUCCUCGUGUUUGCCUCAACUUAUUUUCUCUUUAGCUCUAUUCCAAACUAGAAAUGCUUCACGAAGAGGCAGAAUGGAAUUCCAGCAUAAAUCGAUGGUGGUGUCAGGAUGAAGUCAAAAAGGACAUCAUCUGCCAGAGGAAAGGAGAGUGGGGUCUCACCUUCUGCUCUGAAGCCAUCAUCAGAAUGCACAGGACCAAAGCAUGACUCUCAGCUCUCCUGAAAUAUGGAACAUCUGUCACCCUGA